rnacentral:SRP_RNA from 1 species
GCCGGGUAUGGUGGUGGGCGCCUGUAAUCCCAGCUACUCGGGAGGCUGAGGCAGGAGAAUCGCUUGAACCCAGGAGGUGGAGGUUGUAGUGAGCCGAGAUGGGGCCACUGCACUCCAGCCUGGGCGACAGAGCGAGACUCUGCCUCAA